rnacentral:lncRNA from 1 species
GCUUUUAUAAAAUAUCAUCUUUCAAAAAUGUCUUAUACCCUGGGAUAGCAUUUAUACUGUAUAAAUCCAUAUGGAUGAAAUCUGAGACUCAAUUAUCUUCCCUUUGGGAUCAUUUAAUAUAUUUGCUAUGAGAUAGAAGGGAACCAAUCUCUCAGCCCCUUAAAAUUUUACUUUGCAUCUUUAACAUUGAAAGACAAUAGAAAAGAAAUCAUUGCUUUACAAGGUUAGCAUCCUGGGUCAUUGUAUUAAAAUCUUAGACAGUAGUGUUCCUGGGGUCACAGGUCAUUUAGCGCCUCACAUCUACCCUUUGAGGGUUAAAAAGAAAAGCAUUUCUACCAACGAUACUAAAGUUAAAAAAACGUAGAAUUUAUGAUGUUUUCCCUUUAAAACUAGAGAACAAAUAAUUUAUGACUGCUACAGGCCUAUAUUUUCAUUUCAGUGGAAUCUUAGUGUCCCCUACUGGUAUUCAAAAAAUGUAAAAUAUUAAUAAUAUUUUCUGGUUUUCUUUUUAGAGAAGUAUUUUCUAUUAUAGCAACAUGGAAAUCUUCCAAAAGCAUUGUUUUAUUAACCUGACCUUUGUAAAGUUGAGAAUGAAUGUGAGUUUAGGUUCUACCUUUAGGCAGAUUUUUGAAACCUAACUGAAGCUGCCAGUUAAACGCAAAGCAAUAUUUUUUAAAGUUAACU